AACGAACGCUGGCGGCAGGCCCUAACACAUGCAAGUCGAGCGAGAAGGUUCUUUCGGGAACUGGAGAGCGGCAGACGGGUUAGUAACGCGUGGGAACGUGCCUUAAGGUCUGGGAUAACUAUUGGAAACGAUAGCUAAUACCGGAUGGUCCCUUCGGGGUAAAGCUUUAGCGCCUUAAGAUCGGCCCGCGUUAGAUUAGCUAGUUGGUGAGGUAACGGCUCACCAAGGCGACGAUCUAUAGCUGGUUUGAGAGGAUGAUCAGCAACACUGGAACUGAGACACGGUCCAGACUCCUACGGGAGGCAGCAGUGGGGAAUAUUGCGCAAUGGAGGAAACUCUGACGCAGCCAUGCCGCGUGAGUGAAGAAGGCCUUCGGGUUGUAAAACUCUUUCAACGGUGAAGAUGAUGACGGUAACCGUAGAAGAAGCACCGGCUAACUUCGUG
rnacentral:rRNA from 1 species